rnacentral:tRNA from 1 species
GCAUAGAUAAUCUAGUGGUAGGAUGCCAUCCUAACAAGGUGGAUGUCGGCAGUUCGAUUCUGCCUCUAUGCACCA